GUGCUCACUUUGGCAGCACAUAUUCUAAAAAUGGAAUGAUACAGAGAAAAAUAGCAUGGCCCCU
ensembl:snRNA U6 U6 spliceosomal RNA